UCAUAAGGAGAGGCCCUGGAGAAUUGCUCCAUCUGUUGCGAGAAGAAAGUACUAGGAGAAGCACCUGGGCACCAGAAACCCAGCCCCAGCCCAGAACAGACUGCAGGUGAAUCCAGACGCAAUCACAGAAACUCAGAGUGAAGGAGCAGACCGAGUCAGACAAGGACCAAGGCUCCAAAAGUGUGUGUUUGAAGCUGGCAGCUUCUUGGGACAACCGG
rnacentral:lncRNA from 10 species